rfam:Beta vulgaris subsp. vulgaris Bvchr1.sca001.con0188.1, whole genome shotgun sequence.
AAGCGAAGGUCCCAGCAGUGAGGUGAAUACUCUAUUAUUGAGACCUCUCUAACAUUAAUUUAACCUUCGCAGAUGAAAUGCCGAACUAUCAGAUGCCCAAAUUCUAAAUGUUUGGAACAUCUUCGAACCCUUGGCAAAAUUUCA